rnacentral:rRNA from 1 species
UACGUAGGGUGCGAGCGUUGUCCGGAAUUAUUGGGCGUAAAGAGCUCGUAGGCGGUCUGUCGCGUCGGUCGUGAAAACUUGGGGCUUAACCCUGAGCUUGCGGUCGAUACGGGCAGGCUAGAGUUCGGUAGGGGAGACUGGAAUUCCUGGUGUAGCGGUGAAAUGCGCAGAUAUCAGGAGGAACACCGGUGGCGAAGGCGGGUCUCUGGGCAGUAACUGACGCUGAGGAGCGAAAGCGUGGGGAGCGAACAGG